rnacentral:rRNA from 1 species
AUUGAACGCUGGCGGCAGGCCUAACACAUGCAAGUCGAACGAGUGGCGGACGGGUGUGUAAUGUCUGGGAAACUGCCUGAUGGAGGGGGAUAAAUACUGGAAACGGUAGCUAAUACCGCAUACCAUCGGAUGUGCCCAGAUGGGAUUAGCUAGUAGGUGGGGUAAAGGCUCACCUAGGCGACGCUCCCUAGCUGGUCUGAGAGGAUGACCAGCCACACUGGGACGGAGACACGGCCCAGACUCCUACGGGAGGCAGCAGUGGGGAAUAUUGCACAAUGGGCGAAAGUCUGAUGCAGCCAUGCCGCGUGUAUGAAGAAGGCCUUCGGGUUGUAAAGUACUUUCAGCAGGGAGGCGUUACCCGCAGAAGAAGCACCGGCUAACUCCGUGCCAGCAGCCGCGGUAAUUC